rnacentral:rRNA from 1 species
AUACGUAGGGUCCAAGCGUUAUCCGGAAUUACUGGGUAUAAAGGGUGCGUAGGCGGAUCUGUGCGUCAGGGGUUAAAUAUCCGGGCUUAACCCGGAAAAUGCCCUUGAAACGGCAGGUCUUGAGUGUGAGAGAGGAUGGUAGAAUUCCUGGUGUAGCGGUGAAAUGCGUAGAUAUCAGGAGGAAUACCGGUGGCGAAGGCGGCCAUCUGGCUCAUUACUGACGCUCAGGCACGAAAGCGUGGGGAUCAAACAGGAUUAGAUACCCUGGUAGUCCACGCCCUAAACGAUGUAUGCUUGGUGUUAGGUACUUGUUACCUAGUGCCGGAGGAAAUCCGUUAAGCAUACCACCUGGGGAGUACGAUCGCAAGGUUGAA